GCUUGUUCAAAGUUUGGAUAAGAAAGUGAAUGUAAAGCUAUCACGUUGUAAUUUGGUGAAUUUUACACAUGGUUUCUUCGGAGGCCAAUAGGAGGAUUUUUUCGCAUGAAAAACGGUAAAGUAAAAUGGUUUAAUUCUGAAAAAGGUUUCGGAUUCAUCGAAGCUGAAGACGGAAACGACGUAUUCGUUCACUAUUCUGCAAUCCAAACUGAAGGUUUCAAAACUUUAGAAGAAGGUCAAGAAGUUUCUUUCGAAGUAGUUGAAGGAGCUCGUGGACCACAAGCUGCUAACGUAACUAAGAAGUAAUUUGACGAAGCCAUUUCAAACAGUCCGGUAGAAAUACCGGACUGUUUUU
rnacentral:sRNA from 1 species